rnacentral:tRNA from 1 species
GCACCCGUAGCUCAGCUGGAUAGAGCACUAGUCUUCGAAACUAGGUGUCGCAGGUUCAAAUCCCGCCGGGUGCA